rnacentral:rRNA from 1 species
GACGAACGCUGGCGGCGUGCUUAACACAUGCAAGUGGAGCGACGAACCGGGGCUUGCCCCGGGGCAGAGCCGCGAACGGGUGAGUAACACGUGGGUAACCCACCCCGAUGACCGGGACAACCCGAGGAAACUCGGGCUAAUACCGGAUGUGCUCCUUGACCUCGAGGUCAAGGCGUAAAGAUAGCUUCGGCCUUGCAUCGGGACGGCCCGCGGCCCAUUAGCUUGUUGGUGGGGUAAAGGCCUACCAA